rnacentral:rRNA from 1 species
UACGUAGGGCGCGAGCGUUGUCCGGAAUUAUUGGGCGUAAAGAGCUCGUAGGCGGCUUGUCGCGUCGGCUGUGAAAACCUAGGGCUCAACCCUGGGCCUGCAGCCGAUACGGGCAAGCUAGAAUUCGGUAGGGGAGACUGGAAUUCCUGGUGUAGCGGUGAAAUGCGCAGAUAUCAGGAGGAACACCGGUGGCGAAGGCGGGUCUCUGGGCCGAUAUUGACGCUGAGGAGCGAAAGCGUGGGGAGCGAACAGG